UGACACGGACAGCCGCCGCCGAGCAGUCUUUGACUAACAAAGUACUCGGUUCGCCCAUCACUACCAUUGAGCCAGCCCCCGUAGAGAUGACCUGUGUUUCCAUGCCUUUCUCGCCGUCUCAGCUAUCAUGCAGCCUCCUGACUCGCCACGCAGAGACAUCAGGUUUCAGUCAUGAACUUCGUGGUGGAGCAUGUGAGCAAGGAUUGAGGACAGCUAGGCAGGCUGGGUGGUCUUCGCAGCCAGCCUGAUAGUAUCCACACCACUCCACUCUUCCUUAUUUCCACCAAGGGAGGCAGUGCACCACAUUUCAUGCAAGAUGUGUUGCACCAAUGACGUGGCUUUGAGGGAAGCGCCUCUCUGUAUCCUUGCCCAGCACUUUAUGGAACACAUGAAGGUGCUCCAAGUUCCAAGAAGGGAGUGGUACACACGCUGCUGCACUCCAAGCUUUUGGAGGUCCAGCAGCACACUACUUUCAUGAAUUUGUGUGUAGAGUGCAAUACAGAGAGUGGCAAGGUGGAGGAUGCUUCAACAUUCACAGCAUCAUUGGUUCAUGUGUGUGUGUGUGUGUGUGUGUGUGUGUGUGUGUGUGGAAGGUAGUGAACACA